AUUCUGGUUGAUCCUACCAGUGAUAUACGCUCGUCUCAAAGGUUAAGCCAUGCAUGUCUAAGUACAAACUUCCUAGAAAGUGAAACCGCAUAAGGCUCAGUAUAACAGCUAUAAUUUACAAGAUCCUCAUCCAAACAGUUACUUGGAUAACUGUGGAAAAGCCAGAGCUAAUACAUGCAUUAUGCCGGGACUGUUGGCCUCCGGGUCGGCGGAACUGGUGCACUUAUUAGUUAAACCAAUCGCCUCCGGACGCUUUGAGUUGAAAUCUGGAUAAGGAUGCCGAUCGUAUGGUCGCUUGCGACUGACGACAGAUCUUUCAAAUGUCAACCGCCUAAAGGUAUGUAAUAUGUUUUACACAUUUUUAUGGUUUUACCAUGUUUUACCAAUUUUGGUUAACAAUUAUCUAAUUAUGAAUAACUAAUGGACAACUCAAAAUAUGUAACCGAAAAAAGUGUCUUACUUUAUUCCUUCAGUAAAUCCAGCAUCUUACUAGACAAAUGAAGUAAAAAUUCUGACAAAAUGUAUAAAAAUGCAUCAUUUUGCAUACCUUCAGGCGUUCAGUAGCAACAGACCAGAAUCACCAUUAAAAUUUCCAAUUUUUAUAAAGAAUCAUCCGUAUGACCCUCGAGAAUCUGGCUCGAUAAAUAGGCUGUUUUGGUGGGUCAUUGUUUCCUUUUUAGUGAUGGGUAAAGUUGGCAAAAUUCCGGAGUCGACUCCGAUCCGACUC
rnacentral:ncRNA from 1 species